rnacentral:rRNA from 1 species
GAUGAACGCUGGCGGCGUGCCUAAUACAUGCAAGUCGAGCGAACAGACGAGGAGCUUGUUCCUCUGACGUUAGCGGCGGACGGGUGAGUAACACGUGGAUAACCUACCUAUAAGACUGGGAUAACUUCGGGAAACCGGAGCUAAUACCGGAUAAUAUAUUGAACCGCAUGGUUCAAUAGUGAAAGACGGUUUUGCUGUCACUUAUAGAUGGAUCCGCGCCGCAUUAGCUAGUUGGGAAGGUAACGGCUUACCAAGGCAACGAUGCGUAGCCGACCUGAGAGGGUGAUCGGCCACACUGGAGCUGAGACACGGUCCAGACUCCUACGGGAGGCAGCAGUAGGGAAUCUUCCGCAAUGGGCGAAAGCCUGACGGAGCAACGCCGCGUGAGUGAUGAAGGUCUUCGGAUCGUAAAACUCUGUUAUUAGGGAAGAACAAAUGUGUAAGUAACUAUGCACGUCUUGACGGUACCUAAUCAGAAAGCCACGGCUAACUACGUG